rnacentral:rRNA from 1 species
CAGCCGCCGCGGUAAUACGUAGGGUGCGAGCGUUGUCCGGAAUUAUUGGGCGUAAAGAGCUUGUAGGCGGUCUGUCGCGUCUGCUGUGAAAACCCGAGGCUCAACCUCGGGCCUGCAGUGGGUACGGGCAGACUAGAGUGCGGUAGGGGAGAACGGAACUCCUGGUGUAGCGGUGGAAUGCGCAGAUAUCAGGAAGAACACCGAUGGCGAAGGCAGUUCUCUGGGCCGUAACUGACGCUGAGAAGCGAAAGCGUGGGGAGCGAACAGGAUUAGAUACCCCUGUAGUCCCUGUCUCUUAUAC